rnacentral:misc_RNA from 1 species
GAUGAAGAACGCAGCGAAAUGCGAUAAGUAAUGUGAAUUGCAGAAUUCAGUGAAUCAUCGAAUCUUUGAACGCACCUUGCACCCUUUGGAAUUCCAAAGGGUAUGCUCGUUUGAGUGUCAUUGUACUCUCACACUCUCCGAUCCUUUGGAUUUGGGGAGCGGUGGACUUGGGUGUUUGCUGCUUUCAUUGUGGCUCACCUCAAAUGUGUCAGUGCAUCUCUUGAUUGGACAUAGUACGGCGUGAUAUGUGUCUUUGCCGGCACCUCAUAAGAGGGUGGCCGAUCAGGAGCUCUGUGCUUUCAAACUGUCUUCGGACAAUCUCUGACAACUUGACCUCAAAUCGAGUAGGACUACCCGCUGAACUUAAGCAUAUCAAUAAGCGGAGGA